rnacentral:tRNA from 1 species
GCCGGUGUGGCGGAAUGGCAGACGCGGCGCACUCAAAAUGCGCUGUUCGAAAGGACGUGUGGGUUCGAGUCCCACCACCGGCA